rnacentral:lncRNA from 1 species
UAGACUGGCUCCCCGAAUUACUGUUUACUCCUGGGUUUUUUACGUGCAUGGUGAAGAGUGGGGAAGUGUUUGAAGAUACUAAUCUCUGUACCCCCACCUGACCAUUUUGUAAACCCGUGUUGUGAAACAGUUAAUGCUUCGGGCACCCCUAACAUUUCCGCUUUCAUUCGGCACAUCGACAUGUUUAUGCUGGAACUAUUCGUGCAUUCGUAUGGAUUUGUAUUCCUCCAUUUGGUUUAAUCUGUACUCUACCCCGGGAUAGCAUGAGUCAUGAUUUUUUGUUUGUGGUCCAAGCAUUCCUGGUUACAUCUAGGGGGUGGAUUAACGAGACUCGUUAAGCUUGUGCUCAUUAAGCUCGUUAAGAUUAACGAGCGAAAAAACCCUGCUUGGAUCGGUUAGUUUGAAGUUCGUUAAGCGAGCGAGCGCUUGUUAACAAAUUAUAAUGUGUUACGGUCUACAUGAUGAGUGUAGGUAUGGUCUUUAAAAUGAAAUAUGGUGACUACAAAAGAAAAUGCACUAGUUCGGUUAAGAUGUUACAAUAAGUUUGUCAUUAUAAAAUAAAAAUAUGUGUUGUGUUGUUAUUGACGAGCUUAAUGAGCUACUCGUGAAAUUGUUAACUCAUUCAUUAAACUUGUUAGGCUUAACAAGUCAAAAUCAAUGAUUGGCUAUGUUCAUUAAAAACCGAGAUAUGAUAACGAGUCAGACUAUCGAGUGCUUAUUAAGCUCACCAGCUACAAGCUUUUGGUCAUCAAUGAUAAAUGAACAGGCAUCCAUUGGCAUCGCCUACAAAUCAAAGCAUUUGAAAGGCACAUUUUGCAAUAAGAGAAUCGACAAUGACCAGCAAAGAAACAUUUAGGGCAACUCUACCAGUCCGACCUAAUUCGUCCACGCGUGUUCGUUCUGGUCAAAACAGACAGAAGCGUCAGCCCAAUGCGCCGAUCCAAAUCCAAAACGCAUUCGCUCGGUAUCCGUCUGGACGCAUUUCAGGCCCAAAUUUGCGUCUGGUUUGCGUCUGCGCAGACACAAAACAGACACGACGCACGUUCUCUCAGUGUCGGCCGCCCAACUACCGCCCACGGUCAUAUUAAACGCGACCACCUACCUUGGACUUCACUCUAUUUUUCACGUGCUUUUUUUGCUCGUAGCUCUCCAUCCACUCACCGGAACACUUACCGGAAUUGAGCAAGUGAUAUAUCGGUGGAAAGCUGCUGUAAACACGCAAAUUUUCCGUGUUGAUCGUUUUUUCAUACUUGCAAUGAUUUUAGAAAAUUUCAUCUAAAAUUCAUUCAAUAUAGUAGUUGAACUUCAUGUUGUUUUCACGUUGAACUCCUGUGACGUACUUUCGUUUAUAAUUUUCGCAUCCAUUCGUUAGUGUUACACAAAUGAUAUUCUUUUUGUACAAACCACUCUUACAAUAAUUUUUUUAACUUUCUCUGACGGAGAACUUGAACUUAUAACAAAAAAAAAAAAA